GAUGAUCCCCAGCUUGCUGGGGGGAUUAGUGGCGAACGGGUGAGUAACACGUGAGUAACCUGCCCUUGACUCUGGGAUAAGCCUGGGAAACUGGGUCUAAUACUGGAUACGACCUUCCCACGCAUGUGGUGUUGGUGGAAAGCUUUUGUGGUUUUGGAUGGACUCGCGGCCUAUCAGCUUGUUGGUGGGGUAAUGGCCUACCAAGGCGACGACGGGUAGCCGGCCUGAGAGGGUGGACGGCCACACUGGGACUGAGACACGGCCCAGACUCCUACGGGAGGCAGCAGUGGGGAAUAUUGCACAAUGGGCGCAAGCCUGAUGCAGCGACGCCGCGUGAGGGAUGAAGGCCUUCGGGUUGUAAACCUCUUUCAGUAGGGAAGAAGCGAAAGUGACGGUACCUGCAGAAGAAGCGCCGGCUAACUACGUGCCAGCAGCCGCGGUAAUACGUAGGGCGCAAGCGUUAUCCGGAAUUAUUGGGCGUAAAGAGCUCGUAGGCGGUUUGUCGCGUCUGCCGUGAAAGUCCGGGGCUUAACUCCGGAUCUGCGGUGGGUACGGGCAGACUUGAGUGAUGUAGGGGAGACUGGAAUUCCUGGUGUAGCGGUGAAAUGCGCAGAUAUCAGGAGGAACACCGAUGGCGAAGGCAGGUCUCUGGGCAUUAACUGACGCUGAGGAGCGAAAGCAUGGGGAGCGAACAGGAUUAGAUACCCUGGUAGUCCAUGCCGUAAACGUUGGGCACUAGGUGUG
rnacentral:rRNA from 1 species